CCAGGGCAUCCUUCCUCAGCCUUCUUUUUCAUCUAAUUCCUCCUCUCUUUCUCUCUCAGCCAUGAAGCAAGUUGGUGAAGGAGAGGUGGUAGAAUUGAGUUUUCUUACUGUUGGAGCUAAGAAGAAACCCUUGGGGAAACUUCAAAUCCAGGCAUGUUGGAGCUGCCGAAUUGGAGCUUCAGCUGAGGAAGCUUGGAAUUUGAGGAAAUUCUAGUAGGGGCUGAGAAAAGAGAGAAAGUGUGAAGCUGCUACCUUGAGGAGCUCCUUGGUGUUCCAAGCAGAGAAGGACCUAGAAGGGGAGCUUCGAAUGAGUGAGAUGUGAAGAAGCAAGUGCAGAAUUUCAGCACCAACAGAAUUUCAGCAGAAACUUCUUGCUAUUGGAGCUGAAAUAAAAGGUGCUGGAGUAGCAAAACAGCUGAGGAAAUUCUAGAAGCGAUUGUGGAGUUGAGUUUUGUUGUUAAGGGGGCUGUCGGGGUGAACUUCUGGGCGCCCGAAUUGAAGGCAACCUGGUGGAGUUGGUGCUCGAGUGAGGGUCUUUGGAAUUCCGAGCUGAGGAGAGAAGAUGUUAGCUGAGAACAACUUGGUGAAGCCUUAGAUCAGAUGUGAUCGGAAGUUCAAGUUGACAUUCCGACGGACUCACGGCGCGCUAAUUACGGUAGACGUCGUUCUAGCUUUACGCGCAUCGAGUCGCGGGGGCUAGUAUUUAUACAAUUCGAGACGUUGAUUCCAGUUUUUGGCAUCCCUACAGGAUCGAAGAGAGCCGACAGCAAUUAGGGGCAUUUAGGGGAGGAAGGCACGAAUUUGUGCGGCGAUGGGUUUUGCAAGCUAGGGCGAAAAGGGAUUUCGAGGCGUCGUCGAGGGAAAAAAAAAAAAAGGGUAGGGCUUUUGUGCGAGCGCGCGAAGGGAAAAUGGGCCGCGCGGUGGGGAAAAAAUCCCGCUUAAUUGUUUGGCUGGCAUUUCUCUUGGUGGGAUUUUUGAGAUGACUUUAAUUAUAAUGAGAAAAAAUAAAGUAAACCUGGUAUAUAUCUUAAUAAGGGCAAUUAGGUAAAAGUGCCCUUAAAGAAUAGCCUUUGCUGGCUAUUUUUGUAAAAGCCACUAAUAAAGUGCCAGCAAAGAUCAUAUUUGGUGUAGUGAUAAUUCUUACUGCUAAUAGAAUUCUUAGAAUAUCAUGUAUAGUGAAGUUACAUGCUUGUAUAAUUAUGUGGAAAUUAUGUUAAGAGUACCGUUAAGAAUGCUUCGCAUGUUUGUAUGGACAAGUUGGUCAUUGUUUUCAUUAAAUAAAGAUAGCACGCAUUUCAUGUUUGAUA